CGCAUCUGUGCAUGCAGCAUAUCAAUAAGCGGAGGAAAAGAAAGCGAACAAGGAUUCCCCUAGUAACGGCGAGUGAAGCGGGAAGAGCUCAAAUUUGAAAUCUUAAAGGGUUUCCCUUUACGAAUUGUAGUUUAAAGAAGUGUUUUCUGUUGAGGUUUUGGUAAAAGUUCUUUGGAAUAGGACAUCAUAGAGGGUGAGAAUCCCGUAUUUGACCUUUACUUUCAACUUUGUGAUACACUUUCAAAGAGUCGGAUUGUUUGGGAAUGCAGUCCAAAAUGGGUGGUAAAUUUCAUCUAAAGCUAAAUAUUGGCGAGAGACCGAUAGCGAACAAGUACCGUGAGGGAAAGAUGAAAAGAACUUUGAAAAGAGAGUUAAACAGUACGUGAAAUUGUCAAAAGGGAAGCGUUUGACACCAGUGUUGUUUUUCUGAAAAUCAAUUAAAGAACUGUUUAUGCUAAGCUGUUUAGACUUUAUCAGCUAUCUGUUUAGUUUUGAGCUUUUCUUUAAUGCACUUUUCAGUUAACAAGUCAACAUCAAUUUCUUUUGCUGUAAAAAAGCUUGAGGAAGGUGGCUUGAGAUUCGUCUUAAGUGUUUAUAGCCUCUUGCCUAUGCAGUCGGAGAGAUUGAGGUCUGCAGCGUAGAUCCUUCGGGGCUAAAUGCAUUUGUGCUAAGUUAUAGCAUUUUAUAGACAACUUGUUGACUAUGAUUUGUCUUGUAGCUUACUCGCUUAUGUUAUUUUACCUACGCUUAGGAUGUUGAAUCUGUGCGAGACUAC
rnacentral:rRNA from 1 species